CGGUGGAGCAUGUGGUUUAAUUCGACGCAACGCGAAAACCUUACCAGGUCUUGACAUCCCUGACAACCCGAGAGAUCGGGCGUUCCCCUUCGGGGGACAGGGUGACAGGUGGUGCAUGGUUGUCGUCAGCUCGUGUCGUGAGAUGUUGGGUUAAGUCCCGCAACGAGCGCAACCCUCGACCUUAGUUGCCAGCAUUCAGUUGGGCACUCUAAGGUGACUGCCGGCUAAAAGUCGGAGGAAGGUGGGGAUGACGUCAAAUCAUCAUGCCCCUUAUGACCUGGGCUACACACGUGCUACAAUGGGCGGUACAAAGGGUCGCGAACCCGCGAGGGGGAGCCAAUCCCAAAAAGCCGCUCUCAGUUCGGAUUGCAGGCUGCAACUCGCCUGCAUGAAGCCGGAAUCGCUAGUAAUCGCGGAUCAGCAUGCCGCGGUGAAUACGUUCCCGGGCCUU
rnacentral:rRNA from 1 species